UACGUAGGUGGCAAGCGUUGUCCGGAUUUACUGGGCGUAAAGAGCGCGCAGGCGGUCGUUCAAGUCGCGUGUGAAAGCUCCCGGCUCAACUGGGAGAGGUCCUUGCAUACUGGCGGACUUGAGGGGGGUAGAGGAAAGUGGAAUUCCCGGUGUAGUGGUGAUAUGCGUAGAUAUCGGGAGGAACACCUGUGGCGAAGGCGGCUUUCUGGGCCCUACCUGACGCUGAGACGCGAAAGCGUGGGGAGCGAACCGG
rnacentral:rRNA from 1 species